rnacentral:rRNA from 1 species
CAGUCGCCGCGGUAAUACAGAGGGUGCGAGCGUUAAUCGGAUUUACUGGGCGUAAAGCGUGCGUAGGCGGCUAAUUGAGUCGGAUGUGAAAUCCCCGAGCUUAACUUGGGAAUUGCAUUCGAUACUGGUUAGCUAGAGUGUGGGAGAGGAUGGUAGAAUUCCAGGUGUAGCGGUGAAAUGCGUAGAGAUCUGGAGGAAAACCGAUGGCGAAGGCAGCCAUCUGGCCUAACACUGACGCUGAGGUACGAAAGCAUGGGGAGCAAACAGGAUUAGAUACCCGCGUAGUCCCUGUCUCUUAUAC